rnacentral:rRNA from 1 species
ACGUAGGGGGCGAGCGUUGUCCGGAUUUAUUGGGCGUAAAGAGCUCGUAGGCGGUUUGGUAAGUCGGAUGUGAAAUCUCCACGCUCAACGUGGAGGCGCCAUUCGAUACUGCCAUGACUUGAGUACGGUAGAGGAGUGUGGAAUUCCUGGUGUAGCGGUGAAAUGCGCAGAGAUCAGGAGGAACACCCGUAGCGAAGGCGGCACUCUGGGCCGAUACUGACGCUGAGGAGCGAAAGCGUGGGGAGCAAACAGGAUUAGAUACCCUGGUAGUCCACGCCGUAAACGUUGGGCACUAGGUGUGGGGCGCUAUCGACGCGUUCCGUGCCGUAGCUAACGCAUUAAGUGCCCCGCCUGGGGAGUACGGCCGCAAGGCUA